UACGUAGGGUGCGAGCGUUAAUCGGAAUUACUGGGCGUAAAGCGUGCGCAGGCGGUGAGCUGUGUCCGAUGUGAAAGCCCCGGGCUUAACCUGGGAAUGGCAUUGGAAACUGGCUCGCUGGAGUGUGGCAGAGGGGGGUGGAAUUCCGCGUGUAGCAGUGAAAUGCGUAGAGAUCCGGAAGAACACCGGUGGCGAAGGCGGCCUGCUGGGCAGUAGCUGACGCUGAGGCGCGACAGCGUGGGGAGCAAACAGG
rnacentral:rRNA from 1 species